UACGGAGGGUGCAAGCGUUAUCCGGAUUUACUGGGUUUAAAGGGUGUGUAGGCGGGCUUUUAAGUCAGUGGUGAAAUCUCCGGGCUCAACCCGGAAACUGCCAUUGAUACUAUUAGUCUUGAAUUUUGUUGAGGUAGGCGGAGUAAGUCAUGUAGCGGUGAAAUGCUUAGAUAUGACUUAGAACACCAAUUGCGAAGGCAGCUUGCUAAACAAAUAUUGACGCUGAGGCACGAAAGCGUGGGGAUCAAACAGG
rnacentral:rRNA from 1 species